AGACAGACAGAUGGAGAAGCAUGCAGCCCGGAGAGGAGGAGAGACAAAAGCGUGGAGGAAGUGAGCGGCGUGCGACCAUGUGCUCAGCGCUGCCAUCCCACAACGUGUGACGCCCCGCAGAGUCUCGCGGCGCUCCGGGAAAGAAGGGAAAAAAGAACGCCGAGGGGACGUGAGUGACGUCGCCCCCUCCUCCACCUUCUUGACUUUUAACACGGACUGGACCCCCACCAUGCUGCUGUUAAAAAGCCGGAAUCUCCACUUGGAAGCAACUUAACGGAGGACUCUUGGAGGUGUAAAGGGGACAGGACGGGACAGGACUGGACAGGACGGUGGACGGGACGUGAGGGUUCCCCCCUCCCGAGCUUGAAAGACCCGAGAAGGGUAAGUGGAAAACUGUCAUGUUGUCUGCAUGCGUUUGGGUCACAUGGCAACUCUUUUUCUGCGUGCGUGUGUGCGUGUGUGCGUGUGUGUGUGUGUGUGUGCGUGUGUGUGAGACCCUUUUCAUGUGAUGACGGCGGUUAACGGCAGAGGCGCCACUUCCUUUCCCCCCUCCCCCCUCCCCCCUCGUUCAUUUGACACAGAUAGCCGCACAGUCGGCAUGAAUGAAGCGUAGAGGAGGGAGGUGUGGUGGGUGGGGGUGGUUGUCAUAUCAUAGGACUCUUUAUGAAUGGGCGCCACACGUGAUUGGCUGAGGUUUGCAUGGUUGUAU